CCAGCAGCCGCGGUAAUUCCAGCUCCAAUAGCGUAUAUUAAAGUUGCUGCAGUUAAAAAGCUCGUAGUUGAAUUUCGGGACUGAUAUGUCGGUCGUGCCUCGGUACGUACUGGUAUUUUUGGUUUCUCCCUUCUGACGAACCUUGAUGUCAUUAAUUUGGUGUCUUGGGAAAUCAGGACUGUUACUUUGAAAAAAUUAGAGUGUUUAAAGCAGGCUCACGCUUGAAUACAUUAGCAUGGAAUAAUGAAAUAGGACGUUUGAUUCUAUUUUGUUGGUUUCUAGGAUCGACGUAAUGAUUAAUAGGGAUAGUUGGGGGCAUUAGUAUUCAAUUGUCAGAGGUGGAAUUCUUGGAUUUAUUGAAGACUAACUACUGCGAAAGCAUUUGCCAAGGAUGUUUUCAUUAAUCAAGAACGAAAGUUAGGGGAUCGAAGACGAUCAGAUACCGUCGUAGUCUUAACCAUAAACUAUGCCGACUAGGGAUCGGAUGAUGUUAAUUUUUAAUGACUCAUUCGGCGCCUUACG
rnacentral:rRNA from 1 species